UGGCUUUGUGUUGCCCGUUCAUUGUCUCCAGAGUGAAUGAGGUGUCAACCAAGGCAUACAGGAACCUUGUAGUUGUCUUUUUUGGAAGGAGUCAUCACUGAUUCCUUUCAUUUAAGAUAAACUGCAAGAACACAC